rnacentral:rRNA from 1 species
AGAUUGAACGCUGGCGGCAUGCCUUACACAUGCAAGUCGAACGGCAGCACGGGAGCAAUCCUGGUGGCGAGUGGCGAACGGGUGAGUAAUACAUCGGAACGUGCCCAAUCGUGGGGGAUAACGCAGCGAAAGCUGUGCUAAUACCGCAUAAGAUCUACGGAUGAAAGCAGGGGAUCGCAAGACCUUGCGCGAAUGGAGCGGCCGAUGGCAGAUUAGGUAGUUGGUGAGGUAAAGGCUCACCAAGCCUUCGAUCUGUAGCUGGUCU